rnacentral:rRNA from 1 species
UACGUAGGGGGCGAGCGUUGUCCGGAAUCAUUGGGCGUAAAGCGCGUGUAGGCGGCUCGGUAAGUCUGCUGUGAAAGUCCAGGGCUCAACCCUGGAAUGCCGGUGGAUACUGUCGAGCUUGAGUCCGGGAAGAGGCGAGUGGAAUUCCUGGUGUAGCGGUGAAAUGCGCAGAUAUCAGGAGGAACACCAAUGGCGAAGGCAGCUCGCUGGGACGUGACUGACGCUGAGACGCGAAAGCGUGGGGAGCAAACAGG